GGUAUGUAAAGCUCUAUCAGCAGGGAAGAUNAUGACGGUACCUGACUAAGAAGCACCGGCUAAAUACGUGCCAGCAGCCGCGGUAAUACGUAUGGUGCAAGCGUUAUCCGGAUUUACUGGGUGUAAAGGGAGCGCAGGCGGUGCGGCAAGUCUGAUGUGAAAGCCCGGGGCUCAACCCCGGUACUGCAUUGGAAACUGUCGUACUAGAGUGUCGGAGGGGUAAGCGGAAUUCCUAGUGUAGCGGUGAAAUGCGUAGAUAUUAGGAGGAACACCAGUGGCGAAGGCGGCUUACUGGACGAUAACUGACGCUGAGGCUCGAAAGCGUGGGGAGCAAACAGGAUUAGAUACCCUGGUAGUCCACGCCGUAAA
rnacentral:rRNA from 1 species